CCUACGGGGUGCAGCAGUGAGGAAUAUUGGUCAAUGGACGAGAGUCUGAACCAGCCAAGUAGCGUGAAGGAUGACUGCCCUAUGGGUUGUAAACUUCUUUUAUAUGGGAAUAAAACGUUCCACGUGUGGGAUUUUGUAUGUACCAUAUGAAUAAGGCUCGGCUAACUCCGUGCCAGCAGCCGCGGUAAUACGGAGGAUCCGAGCGUUAUCCGGAUUUAUUGGGUUUAAAGGGAGCGUAGGUGGAUUGUUAAGUCAGUUGUGAAAGUUUGCGGCUCAACCGUAAAAUUGCAGUUGAAACUGGCAGUCUUGAGUACAGUAGAGGUGGGCGGAAUUCGUGGUGUAGCGGUGAAAUGCUUAGAUAUCACGAAGAACUCCGAUUGCGAAGGCAGUUCACUGGACUGCAACUGACACUGAGGCUCGAAAGUGUGGGUAUCAAACAGGAUUAGAUACCCGGGUAGUC
rnacentral:rRNA from 1 species